GAUGAACGCUGGCGGCAGGCCUAAUACAUGCAAGUCGAACGGGAUCCAGAUCAAAGCUUGCUUUGGUCUGGUGAGAGUGGCGCACGGGUGCGUAACGCGUGAGCAACCUACCCUUGUCAGGGGGAUAGCCCGGCGAAAGUCGGAUUAAUACCGCAUGACAUCAUUGAGAGGCGUCUUUCGAUGAUCAAAGAUUUAUCGGACAAGGAUGGGCUCGCGUGACAUUAGCUCGUUGGUAGGGUAACGGCUUACGAAGGCUGCGAUGUCUAGGGGCGCUGAGAGGGGAACCCCCGAGACUGGUACGGAGAAACGGACCAGACUCCUGCGGGAGGCAGCAGUAAGGAACAUUGGUCAAUGGACGGAAGUCUGAACCAGCCAUGCCGCGUACAGGAGGACGGCCCUAGGGGUUGUAAACUGCUUUGAUAAGGGAACAAACGUCGGUACGUGUACCGGUGUGGGUGUACCGUAAGAAUAAGGAUCGGCUAACUCCG
rnacentral:rRNA from 1 species